rfam:Paenibacillus sp. Leaf72 contig_4, whole genome shotgun sequence.
ACAGGAGAGGUUCGCGAACUCCCUCUAUAAAAAACUAAGGAAAA